GUAGGGAUGAAGAACAAUGUCAAAUGGGAGCUGAACCCUGAAAUAGUUGCCCGCCACUUCUUCAAGAAUCUUGGUGUUGUGGUUGCCCCACAUACAUUAAAGUUACCAGAAGAGCCUAUCACACGGUGGGGCGAGUAUUGGUGUGAGGUGACGGCAGCAAAGCAGAAUCAGGAGCAGUGGAGCAGAAAUGAGCAAGCACACUGAUCUCACUCCCAGCUCUGACCAAAUACAAAAUUUUAGAGAACAUCUGAAGACAUCAGACUGCACUGCAUAUACAUGUUGAAUUCUUCAUUUUUGCCAUCUUUAUCUUUAACUGUCAUCAGUGGGGCAGGGCAGUCUUGUUCCAGAAGUACCAGGCCGUAGAUUUGAUAAGCUAGAUGCAAUAGACCGAAACCAUCCAAAACCUGUUUAGCUUCUUCCUCCAUUGGAGUUUAUUGGGACAAACAGAAGAGCCAGCCAUUGUCUCCAGUACUUGCCUCAUUCUCAUCAUCCAAACUGAACAUUUGUAUCCCAAGCAGAAAUAAAGAGAUUAUGUUC
rnacentral:sRNA from 1 species